AAGUGAGGAAUAUUUUUUGUGUGCUUUAUAAUAUCUAUAUUAGUUAAAGCUCUAUUGGGUAGCCCAGUAUCUAGUUUUUUUUAUUUGAAACAUAAAUUCCUAAACCACUUUUGUACGGCUUCAGAUGUAAUCCUUUUCCAAUACACAUCGCUUUCAUUUUUAUAUUAUGCCUCUUCAAUUCUGAUAGUUGUUUUUUGGCUGACUUAUAAUUAUUUACAGCUUUGGUGAUUCCAUCAACACCCCCCGCUAAACUUCCUGUAGCAGAUAAUCCGGCAAAAAUAGGAACUAAUGGUAGAAAUCCACCGGUUUUAGGUACAGGUAUCACUCUCGGUAACGGUACGGGUAAGACUGUCAACACUUGAGAGCAAUCAUGAUAAAUAUAAUGGACCAGUUACUAAACUGCUUGAACUUAAUCCAUAAAUGUUGAUACUGAUGUUAUUAUUAGCUUCAAACAAUUGUAUAUCUUUACACGACGGAGGGAAAGUCAUACCGUCUGUUUUAAAGACAGUUGAAUGGUGAGGAUAUGAACUUGUUUUGCAUACAUUACUUUUGGCGGGAAAUAAUGCAGCUACUAUACUCCAUAGAAAACAGUACUCAUCUUUAUUCUGUAUAUUUAUGCAACUUUUACUAUUCUUGAGAAAUGAUGGCAGCUCUAUGAACGUACCACCUCUCAUAGGACAAUAUUUGUUUAUAUUCAAUUCUAAAUGACUUAUUGAAACCAGAGACCAACCAGAUUCACAGUGUUCAAAUUCUGAAAGUUUUUGUUUAAAUGUUUCUAUAGCAUUCAUAUACAACUCAUUAAUAUUAGUGUUGUUAAAAACGCAAUCAAACUUUGUAUUAAAAGAUUUUAACUGUUGCGUACUUGACCGUGGUAACUCAAAAUAAGCAAACAGUUCAAAAUUUAACUUCAGACAUGUGUGUUUCAGUAUUGAUAAAUGGAUAACAUUCGAAACAUCAUUUUUAUAACUGUACAGGAACGCCUCGGGUGUGAGGUACUCGACUUCCUGUGCAGGAUUUAUGCGGAAGGUGAUCUGAGCAAUAAUCAUGGAUAGAGAGGACCGGUCUAUAUAGGCCUUCAUACGCGUCACGUUUACCCAUAUUUGUAAUUUGUAUAUGAAGCAAAAUAGGAAAAUGCACAGUCAACAUAAAUGCAAAAACAAAUACUCAGUAUGAUAUGCAGCAAUCAUCGAAUUUUUCAUACAACAAUUCACUUAAUACUACGAAUACAAAAGUUACAAAAUUAAACCCCGGCAACGAAACAUUGGUAUCAAAACUACUAGUCAUAUCAUAUCAUCAACACUGUUACACGUCCCACUGCUGGGCAUGGGUGUUCAUCAUAAAAAUCUUUAUAAAUAUUGUACUACAUCACACUUGCUGCAUCAUGUUCUAUAUGAUAUAUUUGAAGAGAUCUUUUAAAGGUAUGUUGAAACGAAAGGUUCUUAUUUUUUAGACUAUAUAAGUAUAUGAUGUAGAUACCUAAAUAAUCGGCAUAAUUGAGUUCAAUGUAACGAUACCUCAUAACUUGGAAUCGUUUUAGCAGUUUUGGCUCAGUGAUAGAACAGAUGAAUACAUACACACUUAGAUACAUACACUUAGGUAUGCUGCUGAAAUCAUAACCCUCCUGUUCGCUCCGCUGUAGUCGAGUAAUCAUAAAUGGAAGUAAACACAAACGGAGUCAUUUUUACUCUCGGCGUCGAGCACUCCAUAUUAGAUUUAUUGAUGAGUAUUGAAUAAAAAAUACAGUAAGUACGAUGUUAAUUUUGAACCCUAUUAGCACUGCCUUCACUCAAUAUAAACGGGUAAAUUGGGAGUAAAAUAAUCAUUAUUAAAAAACUUAUUUUCUUGUGAAGUUGUCAUAAAAUGUCGG